CUAGGUUCUCCAAGUUUAACAUAAUAGAAAAUUAGCUUAAACACUUUUGUUAAAGAUGUUCAGACAAUAACAGAACUUCUAUCCACAGAAAACAAGGUGCCCUAGACGGAAAGCCAAAUCCUGAGCCAAACUUUACGAGGCAUGUUCCUAGAAGGGAGGGCGAGGGGAAUGCGGUCCACCUCUCAGCCUGGCUGCUUGGCUCCCUGGCUGCCUGCGGAGUUGCAGUGCAGAGUAUCAUUGCAGCGCUUUUUCAGGGAGUAAUGUGCUGCACUGGUUCAGGGCUUUGUCUUUAUUCACAACACAUUCAUUCUCAGCGCGGGGGUAGGGAUAUGGGACCGCACAGUUGCCUGCCAGCCUGUCCUCUUUCACUGUCAGCGGAGUAAGCUGAAUGGUAACUCUUCCAAGACAGACAGAGAGAGAGAGAGAGAGCGAGAGGUUUAUACUGAGACAGAGGAAGGAAAACCACGCAAAAAGGAGGUUGGUGGGGGGGAGGAUGCUCUCCGGCACACUCAUGUGUUAGGUCUCUAUGCAAAGGCAGAAGGCUGCAGGAACAGCAUCAGCAAGCUUUUGGGCAGUGAUUCUAACUAUUGCCCGUGAAAACCGUCAUCAGGAUGACUUUGAAGAGGCAAUGUAUUACUUAUGCAUAGGGCACUCUAGCUCUGCUAAAACUGGGAGUGCAAGCACCCCCUUGUUUUCUAAUUUAUUGACUUGCAUCUUUUCCACACUCAGCACUAUCAAGACACUGCUGCUACAGGAAUCUUGUUUCAAUCAUCCUAGGAUAUCACAUGAGUCUCUCAUUUUGAAUUAUGGACAGUUUCUCUGAAAUUACCAAAAAAAAAAAAAAAAGAGAGAAGAUAAUUCCAAGCCCUUUUCAUGAUGACUUUAAUAUCGAUGCUUGAAAAGAAAUAGGCACAACUAAAAGGUAGUUUUCUGGUUCAGUUACUUCCCUUAAAAAUAUUCCCAGACUGUGGUAUAGAACCUGGGAGCCAAAGCUUACUGACUCAGUGACAUAGUGGAAAUGGCUAGUAGCAGCUUCGUCAUGGUACACCCAGGCGCAAGUUAAUGCUGACCCCUAGGAAGAAUUUUUUGGACUGAAAUAGUUUUUGUAUUUUAAGCUCUCUAAAUGUAAAAUAUGAGUCUGUCCAACUAAGAGUAAUAAUUAUUGUAAAAUGAUGAUUUGCUGUUUUGAAGUAAGUUGCAGUCUACAUUUGAAAGGUCAUAUUAUAGAAACCUGAAAUAGUCAUAAACAUGAAUAAAACACAAAGUCAUAAACA
rnacentral:lncRNA from 1 species